UCAGUAAAACCGAAGCGUCAGUGAUAAGCGGAGUGUUCACAUCGCAUCGGCUAUGUGAGUUUAUAAAUCGGUAUAAAUCGGCGGUGCAACUCUUUACUAACUAUUGAUUGGAAUAUAAGUAAACGUUUGAUCAAAAAUGAUGAACUACACCAUCAUAAUGACCGUGACUCUGCUGCUGUUAUGCUGUGCAUCAUCUGCGCCAACUCCUAGAAUAUUCGAGACUCUCGUCUCGGGAAUUACCACAGGCCUGGAAUUACCAAUGAGCAUAAUAGCUGGCACAGGUGUCGGUACUGGUGCAUUACAAUUGGUUGUCAAUAUACAUACAGACAGUAUGGGUAAUAUAGAAGUGUUUACUAACUAAGCUAUAGAUAUAAAAGAUGCAAUGGCGUGUUAAAUUAUUUGUUGAGCUCUAUAGAACUUCUUAAUCAGCUGAAAAAUGGAUAUAUAUUUGGAAGAGAUUCAUGUAUGAAAGAAAAAAAUUAAUGAACGCAAAUUUCCAUGCUGUACUAUAAUUAAGCUAUACUACACUAUAAUAUUUAAUCUAUAAUGUUACUCUAGUAUGAUAAAGAAAUUAUUUUUUAAUUUAAAACCGUAAUAUCAUUUUAAUUUGAGAGCUUUGGAACAAUUCGUACUACGCCUACCUACCUUAAAUUGAAUGUUACUAUGCCAGAAACAUACUCUGAAGCUUGAACAACAGCUGUACUAAGAUUCAACACAAUUGCAACCAAAUAAUGACAUUACGAGUAAUCAGUGUUAGAAAAAAAGAUUUAGUAAAAGAAAAUGACAGCACCUGUGAACAGCGAAUGAGAUACAAACCAAAUGCACUCAUUGAGAAGAACCACUUACACUACAACUAAAACAUAAAUUAUAGACAUAAAAGUAUGCAUGGAUGCCAUCAGAAUAGACCAAAGGACAUACCACUAUACUAACCAAGCAGCUAGACUGAUGACUCUACGACUGAAACUAACAGUCCACAAAACCCAAUGAAAGAUUGUUGCCCAUGAUAAUGAGACCUUGAGGUAUCACAUUUAAUUUGCUUAUAAGGGCAGAGAAGUGGUUUGUAAGCAACCUUCGCCCAUUGACAUUGAGUCAAUAAUUGUUAACCUAAUAUCAAAAUACAGUAAAUCAUUGUCCAGUGAAGAAGGACCCCUCCCGUGUGAGACAUUGAGCUGUGAAACUGCUCAACUUUUAAUAUUAGAAUAAAAAUUCUAUACUAAUCUAUUCUAUACUAAGAAGCUAUCCAAAAGGAUAGCUUCUUAGUAUGAACAUAUUUUUAUGCUACGUCCAUGUUAAGGAGCGGACCCUGAAAUUCUUAUUGAUCAUUUUACUUUCGAAACUACCUUCCAAAUCGUGGGUAACGUCCAUGACUAAGUCAAACAGAAACAAAGAUCAGAAUUAUAAAUGAUAAUCCUGUUACUGGAGUCCGGACACCAAAAGAUGUAGGCGAAAUAAGAGUUGAAAAAAUAGAUUAAAGUCCCCUUCAUACAAGAUGGCGAGCUUCAUCGCAGCCGGAUAGCGGUGGUAGUCUACCCGUGCAAACAUGUUACAUAUUCGAAGGUUUUUUUAAAAAAUCAUACGUGGUUUAAAACUAACUGGAUUGGUAAUGAAACUCGAAAAGUAAAACUAAAAAGAAAGAAACAAUUGAAAAAUAAAUCAGAAUACUACUUUUACGGGUGAUUGAUAUGGAAGUCGAAACUUGAGGAAGCCUAAAACGUACGUUUGUAUCUUGUGAUUAAUAGCUGAACAAACUAUUGUCAUUAAGAUGCUGUAAUCAUAUGUAACUGUGUGACUGUUAGUAUUUUACGUCGUAAAAUGUUUCUGACAGUAUUUUUGAAGUGAAACUUCUUUAGGCGCAUGGGGGUAAAAUUUUUACAGAACGUCACGCAGGUAUGCAACGGAAGUGACAUCAAACUACUAUUGAAAUUAAGUACUUGUCAAAUGUCAGUAGUAGUAGUUGUUGUAUUUUUCCAACUGGAAAGGCAAAUGUAUCAUACCAUACAGCCUAAUAAUUUAUAUUUUUUUGUGAAAAAUGUUAAUAGGAAUUUAAAUGAAAUGAAAAGAAUUUGGAACAUUAAUCAAAUAGCAUGAAAUUAAAUUAGUCAAUUCAAUUGGCAAAAUAUUAGUCAUUUACAAUUUAGAAAUCUAAACAUAAUGUGACUGUCAACACUGAGGUUUGAGAUUGACAUUUGACAGACUUUUGGCGGGAACAUAUCUUUCUUUUUCCCUCUCUCUAAAUCUCGGAAAUCUAAAGUUUUAGAUUUGUAUAAAUAUAAGCAAGACUUACAAAUUAGUUCGCCAAAAAAGUUUCACUUCUGACAUGUGUACUUUGUACGCACGCACUUUUUUUUCAUAUAAUAAUCAUGUAACGAGCCCAUUGUUCCAUUAGAAUAAUCUCUAAAGUUUUUGCCAGUCGUAGGCAUUAUUUUGUCGUUUAUUCUUUACAACUAACAUGUUUUUUAAAUAAAAUACACAAUAUCAAGAAUACUUUAAGACAUUAUUAAUCCUGCAAUAUCGAUUGUUGAUCUUUAUAAUAUGUAAUUGAUAUCAUUAUGAAAUACUAAUUAAUUAGGAUUAGGUCGACUAACUUGAUCAGUAAGUCCCCCUCAUCUCUUUAUCAAUACUUAUUAUUUAUGUAUUGAUAAUUAAAAGAAAAGACGUGCAAUAAAUCUAAAGAUAUCCUAUUAUUAAAAAACAUUUAAUCAUUUCGUGAUAUUAUAAUUGUGUUUUUAUCUGAUUACUAGUGUUGAAUGUUUUUAUAAAAAGGACGAGAAGUUUUGUUAACGAAAUCGCUAUCAGCCGGUUCGACAUUCUUAAUAAAACAUUUUGUAAAAA